rnacentral:rRNA from 1 species
GCGUUGUUCGGAAUUAUUGGGCGUAAAGCGCGUGUAGGCGGCAGUGCAAGUCGGGUGUGAAAGCCCUCAGCUCAACUGAGGAAGUGCGCCCGAAACUGCAUUGCUUGAGUACCGGAGAGGAUGGCGGAAUUCCCGAAGUAGAGGUGAAAUUCGUAGAUAUCGGGAGGAACACCGGUGGCGAAGGCGGCCAUCUGGACGGAUACUGACGCUGAGACGCGAAAGCGUG